rnacentral:rRNA from 1 species
UGGGGAAUAUUGGACAAUGGGGGCAACCCUGAUCCAGCAAUGCCGCGUGUGUGAAGAAGGUCUUCGGAUUGUAAAGCACUUUCGACGGGGACGAUGAUGACGGUACCCGUAGAAGAAGCCCCGGCUAACUUCGUGCCAGCAGCCGCGGUAAUACGAAGGGGGCUAGCGUUGCUCGGAAUGACUGGGCGUAAAGGGCGUGUAGGCGGUUUACACAGUCAGAUGUGAAAUCCCCGGGCUUAACCUGGGAGCUGCAUUUGAUACGUGUAGACUAGAGUGUGAGAGAGGGUUGUGGAAUUCCCAGUGUAGAGGUGAAAUUCGUAGAUAUUGGGAAGAACACCGGUGGCGAAGGCGGCAACCUGGCUCAUGACUGACGCUGAGGCGCGAAAGCGUGGGGAGCAAACAGGAUUAGAUACCCUGGUAGUCCACGCUGUAAACGAUGUGUGCUAGAUGUUGGGUAACUUUGUUAUUCAGUGUCGCAGUUAACGCGUUAAGCACACCGCCUGGGGGAGUACGGGCCGCAAGGUUGA